UUUCACUAGUCCAUCACCACCAACAUUUUGAUACCAAUUAGUACUAAAUUCCUACAAAAACGCCAUUCAUCAGUUGUAUAGUCAAGAAGUCAAGUCCUUGUGUGUAAACUUAGCAUUGGAUAUCUCGACAAAGCACAUGCUGCAAACUAGACCUCUUAAUAAGGGGCAUCACACAAAAAGUGGAGACUGGGAUCAAACGAUGUCUUUCAAAUGCUGUUUUUCAAAAAUAUGACAGCCCCAUGGUUCAUCUACAGAGGUACUUUUUACACUUUGUCAGAUCAAGAGAUUGAAAAUUAAAAAAGAGGUCUAAGAAUUAAUGGAAAUUGUCCAGAAUGUCAACUAUUGCAACAGCCUCAGAGAAAACUUGGGAAUUACAUCAUAUGUUAUCCGUCAAUUCAAAUCAUUUUUUAGCAUCUAUGAUAUUUCUUAUUUAAAGUAUAUCAAGAAUAUUAAAAUAUUGAGAAGAAUCAGAUUACAGCUUGUCUUUUAGCGCCUCUGCCGCGUUUGUUGCAACGCUUUAUGGAAUUUCAUGCCCAGCAUGAAAAUGGCCACAAGGCAUCAUGGGAUUUCAUGCCCAGCAUGAAAACGGUCGCAACGCUUUAUGGGAUUUCAUGCCCAGCAUGAAAACGGUUGCAACGCUUUAUGGGAUUUCAUGCCCAGCAUGAAAAUGACCGCAAGGCAUCAUGGAAACUUAUUACCAGGAAUGAAAAUGAUCACAAAGCUUCGAGAUUACGAAAGGAGUUAAAUCUGACAUUCCGGCAGGCAUGACCUUAAAAAAUUAAUGCCCCUGCAAUA